rnacentral:piRNA from 2 species
UACUGGCAUUUGUAAUGAGACACAAUACAGU